GGGGGCGACUGGCUUCGACGGGGUUAGUGAAGCUGUGGCCGCGUGCCCAGGUCCUCGGAUCCUGGUAAAACCUCUGGGAAUAUUUUCAAACGCCAACAACAACUUGGCCCUGGCUGCGUAACUCUUAGGAGUUACUGCACCUGCCCUUAGAGAAGCCCUCCUGAGGCGGCUUUAAGGGUAUCGAAAAUUCGGGAUAGUCGGCCGGUGCGUCUUCCGCUAGUCGGCGAAAUCAAGAAAGACUUGUCCAGAAGUGGGCUGUCCACUGGCCAGCGGCUGGAGACAUCAAUCGGUGGAAUACGCACGUAGACGCUGUGGUCGAUCUUUUCUCGGACCGGGGUUCGAAUCCCCGCGCCUCCAUCA
rnacentral:tmRNA from 1 species